rnacentral:rRNA from 1 species
AUGCAAGUUCGAGCGGUAGGCCCUUCGGGGUACACGAGCGGCGAACGGGUGAGUAACACGUGGGUGAUCUGCCUCGUACUUCGGGAUAAGCCUGGGAAACUGGGUCUAAUACCGGAUAGGACCUCUUGUCGCAUGGCUUGGGGUGGAAAGAUUUAUCGGUGCGAGAUGGGCCCGCGGCCUAUCAGCUUGUUGGUGGGGUAAUGGCCUACCAAGGCGACGACGGGUAGCCGGCCUGAGAGGGCGACCGGCCACACUGGGACUGAGACACGGCCCAGACUCCUACGGGAGGCAGCAGUGGGGAAUAUUGCACAAUGGGCGGAAGCCUGAUGCAGCGACGCCGCGUGAGGGAUGACGGCCUUCGGGUUGUAAACCUCUUUCGACAGGGACGAAGCGCAAGUGACGGUACCUGUAGAAGAAGCACCGGCCAACUACGUGCCAGCAGCCGCGGUAAUACGUAGGGUGCGAGCGUUGUCCGGAAUUACUGGGCGUAAAGAGCUUGUAGGCGGUUUGUCGCGUCGUCUGUGAAAACUCACAGCUCAACUGUGAGCUUGCAGGCGAUACGGGCAGACUUGAGUACUGCAGGGGAGACUGGAAUUCCUGGUGUAGCGGUGAAAUGCGCAGAUAUCAGGAGGAACACCGGUGGCGAAGGCGGGUCUCUGGGCAGUAACUGACGCUGAGAAGCGAAAGCGUGGGUAGCGAACAGGAUUAGAUACCCUGGUAGUCCACGCCGUAAACGGUGGGCGCUAGGUGUGGGUUUCCUUCCACGGGAUCCGUGCCGUAGCUAACGCAUUAAGCGCCCCGCCUGGGGAGUACGGCCGCAAGGCUAAAACUCAAAGGAAUUGACGGGGGCCCGCACAAGCGGCGGAGCAUGUGGAUUAAUUCGAUGCAACGCGAAGAACCUUACCUGGGUUUGACAUACACCGGAAACCUGCAGAGAUGUAGGCCCCCUUGUGGUCGGUGUACAGGUGGUGCAUGGCUGUCGUCAGCUCGUGUCGUGAGAUGUUGGGUUAAGUCCCGCAACGAGCGCAACCCUUGUCCUGUGUUGCCAGCACGUAAUGGUGGGGACUCGCAGGAGACUGCCGGGGUCAACUCGGAGGAAGGUGGGGACGACGUCAAGUCAUCAUGCCCCUUAUGUCCAGGGCUUCACACAUGCUACAAUGGGCGGUACAGAGGGCUGCGAGACCGUGAGGUGGAGCGAAUCCCUUAAAGCCGUUCUCAGUUCGGAUCGGGGUCUGCAACUCGACCCCGUGAAGUUGGAGUCGCUAGUAAUCGCAGAUCAGCAACGCUGCGGUGAAUACGUUCCCGGGCCUUGUACACACCGCCCGUCACGUCAUGAAAGUCGGUAACACCCGAAGCCGGUGGCCCAACCC